rnacentral:rRNA from 1 species
AAGAGCCCAGCACCGAAGCCUGCGGCAGUUUUGCUGUUAGGCAAUGUGGUGUGCGGGUCGGUUAGCGGGAUCGUCACUCCACUCGACGUCCAGCAUUGAGUAUGGUUAUCACUGGAUUUGGCCCAUAGAGGGUGAGAGGCCCGUACGAGUGGAGGUUCAGAUAUGUGUGACGAUUCACCAGACCGGCCUCAGAGUCGGGUUGUUUGAGAUUGCAGCCCAAAGAGGGUGGUAAACUCWAUCCAAGGCUAAAUACUGGCACGGGUCCGAUAGCGAACAAGUACCGUGAGGGAAAGUUGAAAAGUACUCUGAAGAGAGAGUAAACAGUACGUGAAGCCGCAUGCAGGUAAACGGGUGGCGUCAAGCUGCGAGCCCGGAGGAUUCAGCUGAUUAGGAUGUAGUGUACGUGCGCCUAGUACGUCGAGAGACCGGAAUAAGAUGAUAUUUUGCGGUCCACUUCUCUACUAGGAGUGGAGUGCCAUCGGUAUGCACGUGAAAGCGUGUGUACCGGUAUAGCACACUAUACAUGCCGGGUGGGUACCGGAGUAUGCCGCACAUCUGUUGGGUCACCUAGUCAGUGCAUUUUCUCCGUGGUGAACACCACGACCGGUGGAACUGCCAGUCUGCUGUGAUCAAGUCGUGUCUUUCUGACCCCUCCGUUUCCUCUCUCUCAUAAUGAUAAUCCUAUUGCUUCUCCUUUUUGGGAUGCUAGUAGUAUUGUGGUUGUGAUGAGUGGGGGAGUGGAUGUGUGUGUUGGGUGGAUACGAUGGCAGAUGGGGUCGGUGGACGGCGCAGUGGUGCAUUAGUGCUGCCGCGUGUUAUCGUACACUCUCCAUCCUUAUCGAUUAAUGGAGCUGACUAAGUACUGUGACUGCCUCUCCAUUAAUUGGCGGAUAGCAGCGGUAAAAAUGACUGUGCAGGGCACUGGAGUUAUCCACCUCAAUUAUGUAAUUUAUUCGUUCAUUCAUUUGUUCAUGAAUUCACUCUUUACGGAUUGCAUUUGUGGAUAAGUGGAUUGAUUGAGUAAAUUAUGGUACCCGACACGCACGUUACAGGUGCUAUGUAAUCGGGGUACGCCGCUGUCUGUUUGGUAUUGGGCCUGACUGUCGUGUUGCCUACGCAAAGUGGGUCCGGCAGUGGUUGUAUAUACUUGGCAGUUGCAGUGUGUAGCGUUCCUCGGGUGUGUGUGGUACUGAGGGUGAAAUAGUCAGUGGUGCUGUGGUAGACGAGCUACCCGACCCGUCUUGAAACACGGACCAAGGAGUUUAACAUGUGUGCGAGUCAAAGGGUCCUACGAAACCCCGAGGCGUAAUGAAAGUGAAGUUCAUGCUGUACUUUUGUAUGUGCGCAGUGCAGUAUGGCGAGGUGAGAUCUCCUUGUACUCAUGACACACGCCGYAUUACCUUACUGGGCAUUAAUUGGGGCAAGGAGCGCAUCACCGGCCCGHCGCAUGUUGUGGUCAUAGGUGUACUUGUGCGUGGAAAGGUGUGUGUGUA